rnacentral:rRNA from 1 species
AACGAACGCUGGCGGCGUGCCUAACACAUGCAAGUCGAGCGUGAAAGUCCCUUCGGGGGCGAGUAAAGCGGCAGACGGGUGAGUAAUACAUAGGUAAUCUACCUUCGAGAUUGGAUAACCCCGCGAAAGUGGGGCUAAUACCGGAUAAGACCACGUGACUUACGUUGCGCGGUAAAAGGUGGCUUUUUCUUCGGAUGAGGCUAUCACUUGAGGAUGAGCCUAUGGCCUAUCAGCUUGUUGGCGGGGUAAGAGCCCACCAAGGCUAUGACGGGUAGUUGGUCUGAGAGGACGACCAACCACACUGGAACUGAGACACGGUCCAGACUCCUACGGGAGGCAGCAGUGGGGAAUAUUGGGCAAUGGGCGAAAGCCUGACCCAGCGACGCCGCGUGGGUGAUGAAGGCCUUCGGGUUGUAAAGCCCUGUCAUGCGGAAAGAACAGUCUCAUGGCUAAUAUCCAUGAGAUUUGACGGUACCGCAGGAGGAAGCACCGGCUAACUCCGUGCCAGCAGCCGCCGUAA